UAUAAAUAUCUUUCUUAUCAUUCCUAUCAUCAUUCCUUACAAUUGUUGAAUCUAAAAUUUCUUCUGUUUUCAGAGAUCCAUAUAUAUAAAAAAUGAAACAAACUUCGCGCCAUUUUUUUCGACUCAACGUUAUACUAUAUUUUUUUCUGAGAAAAAAGUUUCACAAGCGAAUCGACUGGCGUCCGUUUUCUCACGUUUUCCGCUCGAAAAGUUACGGUCACUCAGCCGAGACCCACCUCAUAGUUUAAUCCGGGGUGCACUUGAUUCAAGAGAUCAUGUGCAACCUGUGCCUAUAUACAGGGGUAACCGAACUCCAAAAACACCCCCAAGGGUCCAGGGCGGCCGGCAGAACGUUUAAAAUAAAUUUCAAUUCGAAGCCAGAAAGGGGAGUGUGUAGCUCCCUUUUUCAACCAAGGAAAUCACCAUAUGUAUGCGAUGUGUGUGUUAAAGGCGCGAUGAAACCUAUAGCGAUUCCAUUCUAAAGUUUUGCCCUAUGGGAAAGUUCAGAUGCUCGGAUAAUUGCGGUUAAACCAGAAAAUUAGGUUCAUGACGAAUCACUGAUCACCGAGGGCGAGUUGUGGGAAGUUUUACAAGAUGAUCAUUCUUUCCUUGUGAAACAUAUUGUUACAUCGAAUGUUAUAUCAGCUUGAUAGAAUUAUAUAGAGUUUUAAAAUUU